CAAAGCCAGUCGGGCAAUAUUCGCUUCACACUUGGGCAAUAUUGGCUUAUUAUAAAAAUAAAUGGGACAAAUUCUGUCAAUUUUGUGGGGAAUUCUGUCAAUUUUGUGGGAAAUAUGCUAUCUAUCCAAUAGGAAUUCUUCGUAAUCACUAGUCCCCCCCCCCCCCCCCGUCGACAACAAUUUUGGAAAGUUUCUCCGGAAAUUUUUUUAACAACGCGGGCACAAUCUGAAAAAGUCAGGCAAAUUUCUUUCCUCCCCCCUAAUUUUUUUCUUCCUGUAUGCCCAUGUGUAUACCACCAUAAAUCCUGGGAUGAAAUCAUGGUCACAUAUAUUACAGUAUAUAAUCUUCUGUUGACAAUAAUAUCUUUCAAAAGUGCAAUAUUUGUUGCGCAUAGACUCAGGCAAUGACUCGGGUUGUGCAGCAAAUAAAGUGUCAUGUUUGUAGACCAUUCUAUUUGACAGUUUUGCAUUUACUACAUUUGGUGGGGAUAAUUAACACCCCUGGGUUUAGUGGAAGAUGAUCAAAACAAACAUGAAUUAAAACAUGAUUUUGCUCUUAACAAC